UUACUUCCGGUUGAGGGACCUAAGCUAGUAGUCGCUAGCGGUAAUCCUAUAGCUGUAACGGUAGAUGAGUAUUAUAUGCUCAGUUAGGGGCUGUCAUAACAAUUAGAUUAAGAAGAGAGAACAGUUGAAACGGCAUCAACGAUGUUACGAAUACAAUGUGAAGCGGUCCGAGUGUUGUGGUGCACUUUACAAUUUACACCCACCACCUUAAGACAAGGAGCACCUGAGGCAAUGGCUGAAGGCGUUAAACUUGAAGUGACCACCCAAGCGCCCUUAUGUGUGUUCGUACCAUUUCAUGGACGGGAGGCCGACUGACAAACACCCUUUCCCCGAGAAAUGGCUCGGCAACGAUGUUCCGGUAAAUAAGUCACGGCGGAUGCUGAACAGGUUGUCAGAUUCAGAUGCAUCGAUGAGCGUCAGUGAUCAACUGUGAGGAUGAUCACAUCCACAUACCCUGAACUGUGAUGCAGAAACACACUGGGAGGAUCCAUCUGUCUCUGACCACAACUACACUUCAAAAUCACAUCUCAAUCUGAAGCCUCCUACAUCUGAUAUGAGAAUGAAAUGCGUUGAGCUGGCGCCAUUGUACUGUUGCUCAACUCUGCUGAGAAACAACCACCAUUCAUUCAGUCGGUGAGCACCUUACCAAUAUAUACACCAACAGUUUCCAGCUACACACUUGGGAUCAGCUCCUGAUGACUCUGAUGGAGCUGCGUCGUAAUUUAUUGCAGGGUGAUCAUUAGGGUGGUAUAGGGUGGUCAUAUCAGGAUGAUAAUUUAUCUAUAUCAGCACUGGAGUAAACAGUGAUGUCAUCAUCCAGCUAAGUUCAGUUCGCAUACAAUGUUGUCAAUGCAGACAGAUCAAAACACUGUUGAAUAUCAAAGGAAGGUGAAACUUGUCAUUCCAGCAUUCACCAAGAGACGCACGCAACUCUCUAAAGAAGACACCACCAACACCAGGCGCAUCGCUAAUGUACAUGGGUCAUAUGACUGAAAAUCUUCAAAAUCCUUUCUUACAACAGUUCAAAUUAACCUCACCCCUAAAAUUGAUCAUUUAGAGAAUUUGCCCAUUUUACCCUUCUGAGCAACAUAAUUUCUGAUGUAGAGGAUGAAUAAAUGUUGAUUUUAGGUAUGUUUGUCUGUGCUGUGGUUUUGCUUUAACUAAUCAGUGUAAAUAGUGUAUGUAGAUAUUUUUAUGAACCUUUACAAUAUGACCAAAUGUUGUCUAUCUUAAAAUUAUUUCUAUAAACCUUUACAAUAUGAUCAUA